GGGCUGGCUUUAGCUCAGCGGUUACUUCGUGAUAGCUUGCGCUUAAAAUCAUCUUUGAUGGUUCAAGGCCCGCGGGCGCUCUCCAGCCCUUUU
rnacentral:vault_RNA from 1 species